AGCUUCAGCUUAAGAAUUGGGCUGUAUAAGUUCAAAUUGCUAAAUAUUGCUUUUUAAAUGCAGCAGAAGCGUUUUAUUAGAAUUUCUUUCAGUGUAAUAUUUGACACUGGAAACAGCUGAUUUGUGACGCCAGUUUUGUGAAUCAUAACCCGUCUUCAUUACAACAAAUUACCAUUGAAUUGCGAUAAAACAAUUAACGUAGUAUUAUUAAUUUUUGAGAAAUUUUUAUUGUAAUCGCUUGUACUCGGAAGACAAAAUGUUGACGACAUUAACAAACUUCGAAUGCGCUAUCCUAGGCAGCGUGUUACCAGCGGCUUUUUUCUAUCUGUGGACUUUAAUUGCCUACGAUUUUAUUAAUUUCCCCGGGAGUCGCACAAAGGCUACUCUGAGCUACACAGCCAAAGAUAUGGUGAAUUGUUACCAAAAUUAUGCUGCACCUACAAAUGGAGAGGUCAAAAAAGAGCAAUAAUUUGGCCUAUUUUGUUCCUACUUGAUAUUUACCUAUAGUAUUUGAAUUAUAUAUGAACUACUUCGCUCGCAUUUACAACGCUUAUGAAAUAUAUUGAGGCCUAUUUUUGUAAGAAGCUAAAUGAUUGAGUUGUGUUUUACAAAGGUUCACUGAUCAAUAAUUUUAUUGUGCCCGCUCUAAAAUAGAAUUUACUCAUAUUUUCUAGCGUGUACUAUAAAAAAAUUAAAAUUGUUAUUUCCUAAAAGUUAGUUUAUUUUUUUAAUUUGAUUUCUCUUAUUUACAAAUAUGUAUUUCGUAUAUGUUCAAUUUUUAAAAUUUCGUAUAAUUUUCAAGGAAAUAUAUAGAAUCAUAUAAUAGGUACACAUAAAAUUUUAAUAACAAAUGUAUCAUUAAUUAAUUCAUUAAACAUAAACAUGAAAGAGUUAACCAGCAAAGAAAUAGGCAUCAAAACUAAAUUUAAUUGGGAAAAAUUUAUAAAUAUCAACAUACAGAUGUAUGCGUGCUAAUAUCAAAUUAAUACAUUUUUCCCCAAUACGGAAUGACCUUACACUUUUAGUACCAAAGUAAUUAAAAUUAACUCCGCUCAAAAA